GAUGAACGCUGGCGGCGUGCCUAAUACAUGCAAGUCGAGCGAACGGACGAGAAGCUUGCUUCUCUGAUGUUAGCGGCGGACGGGUGAGUAACACGUGGAUAACCUACCUAUAAGACUGGGAUAACUUCGGGAAACCGGAGCUAAUACCGGAUAAUAUUUUGAACCGCAUGGUUCAAAAGUGAAAGACGGUCUUGCUGUCACUUAUAGAUGGAUCCGCGCUGCAUUAGCUAGUUGGUAAGGUAACGGCUUACCAAGGCAACGAUGCAUAGCCGACCUGAGAGGGUGAUCGGCCACACUGGAACUGAGACACGGUCCAGACUCCUACGGGAGGCAGCAGUAGGGAAUCUUCCGCAAUGGGCGAAAGCCUGACGGAGCAACGCCGCGUGAGUGAUGAAGGUCUUCGGAUCGUAAAACUCUGUUAUUAGGGAAGAACAUAUGUGUAAGUAACUGUGCACAUCUUGACGGUACCUAAUCAGAAAGCCACGGCUAACUACGUGCCAGCAGCCGCGGUAAUACGUAGGUGGCAAGCGUUAUCCGGAAUUAUUGAGCGUAAAGCGCGCGUAGGCGGUUUUUUAAGUCUGAUGUGAAAGCCCACGGCUCAACCGUGGAGGGUCAUUGGAAACUGGAAAACUUGAGUGCAGAAGAGGAAAGUGGAAUUCCAUGUGUAGCGGUGAAAUGCGCAGAGAUAUGGAGGAACACCAGUGGCGAAGGCGACUUUCUGGUCUGUAACUGACGCUGAUGUGCGAAAGCGUGGGGAUCAAACAGGAUUAGAUACCCUGGUAGUCCACGCCGUAAACGAUGAGUGCUAAGUGUUAGGGGGUUUCCGCCCCUUAGUGCUGCAGCUAACGCAUUAAGCACUCCGCCUGGGGAGUACGACCGCAAGGUUGAAACUCAAAGGAAUUGACGGGGACCCGCACAAGCGGUGGAGCAUGUGGUUUAAUUCGAAGCAACGCGAAGAACCUUACCAAAUCUUGACAUCCUUUGACAACUCUAGAGAUAGAGCCUUCCCCUUCGGGGGACAAAGUGACAGGUGGUGCAUGGUUGUCGUCAGCUCGUGUCGUGAGAUGUUGGGUUAAGUCCCGCAACGAGCGCAACCCUUAAGCUUAGUUGCCAUCAUUAAGUUGGGCACUCUAAGUUGACUGCCGGUGACAAACCGGAGGAAGGUGGGGAUGACGUCAAAUCAUCAUGCCCCUUAUGAUUUGGGCUACACACGUGCUACAAUGGACAAUACAAAGGCAGCGAAACCGCGAGGUCAAGCAAAUCCCAUAAAGUUGUUCUCAGUUCGGAUUGUAGUCUGCAACUCGACUACAUGAAGCUGGAAUCGCUAGUAAUCGUAGAUCAGCAUGCUACGGUGAAUACGUUCCCGGGUCU
rnacentral:rRNA from 1 species